GAUGAACGCUGGCGGCGUGCCUAAUACAUGCAAGUCGAGCGAACGGACGAGAAGCUUGCUUCUCUGAUGUUAGCGGCGGACGGGUGAGUAACACGUGGAUAACCUACCUAUAAGACUGGGAUAACUUCGGGAAACCGGAGCUAAUACCGGAUAAUAUUUUGAACCGCAUGGUUCAAAAGUGAAAGACGGUCUUGCUGUCACUUAUAGAUGGAUCCGCGCUGGAUUAGCUAGUUGGUAAGGUAACGGCUCACCAAGGCAACGAUGCGUAGCCGACCUGAGAGGGUGAUCAGCCACACUGGAACUGAGACACGGUCCAGACUCCUACGGGAGGCAGCAGUAGGGAAUCUUGCACAAUGGGCGAAAGCCUGACGGAGCCACACCGCGUGGGUGAAGAAGGUCUUCGGGUCGUAAAACCCUUUUGUUGGGGAAGAAAAUCAGCAUGUGAAUCUCUGGCUGUCUUGACGGUACCUAAACAAAAAGCCACGGCUAACUUCGUG
rnacentral:rRNA from 1 species